AGCACUUUGGAAAGAGAGUUAAAAAGCACGUGAAAUUGUUGAAAGGGAAGGGAUUGCAACCAGACUUGCUCGCGGUGUUCCGCCGGUCUUCUGACCGGUUCACUCGCCGCGUUGCAGGCCAGCAUCGUCUGGUGCCGCUGGAUAAGACUGGAGGAAUGUAGCUCCCUCGGGAGUGUUAUAGCCUCUAGUGAUGCAGCGAGCGCCGGGCGAGGUCCGCGCUUCGGCUAGGAUG
rnacentral:rRNA from 1 species